rnacentral:rRNA from 1 species
CCUACGGGAGGCAGCAGUGAGGAAUAUUGGUCAAUGGACGCAAGUCUGAACCAGCCAUGUAGCGUGCAGGAAGACGGCUCUAUGAGUUGUAAACUGCUUUUGUACGAGAGUAAACGCAGAUACGCGUAUCUGUCUGAAAGUAUCGUACGAAUAAGGAUCGGCUAACUCCGUGCCAGCAGCCGCGGUAAUACGGAGGAUGCGAGCGUUAUCCGGAUUUAUUGGGUUUAAAGGGGGCGGAGGCGGUCGGAUAAGUUAGAGGUGAAAUCCCGAGGCUCAACUUCGGAAUUGCCUUUGAUACUGGUCGGCUAGAGAGUAGUCGCGGUAGGCGGAAUGUAUGGUGUAGCGGUGAAAUGCUUAGAGAUCAUACAGAACACCGAUUGCGAAGGCAGCUUACCAAGCUACUUCUGACGUUGAGGCACGAAAGCGUGGGUAGCAAACAGGAUUAGAUACCCGUGUAGUC